rnacentral:rRNA from 1 species
GUCGAGCGGUAGAGAGGUGCUUGCACCUCUUGAGAGCGGCGGACGGGUGAGUAAAGCCUAGGAAUCUGCCUGGUAGUGGGGGAUAACGCUCGGAAACGGACGCUAAUACCGCAUACGUCCUACGGGAGAAAGCAGGGGACCUUCGGGCCUUGCGCUAUCAGAUGAGCCUAGGUCGGAUUAGCUAGUUGGUGAGGUAAUGGCUCACCAAGGCGACGAUCCGUAACUGGUCUGAGAGGAUGAUCAGUCACACUGGAACUGAGACACGGUCCAGACUCCUACGGGAGGCAGCAGUGGGGAAUAUUGGACAAUGGGCGAAAGCCUGAUCCAGCCAUGCCGCGUGUGUGAAGAAGGUCUUCGGAUUGUAAAGCACUUUAAGUUGGGAGGAAGGGCAUUAACCUAAUACGUUAGUGUUUUGACGUUACCGACAGAAUAAGCACCGGCUAACUCUGUGCCAGCAGCCGCGGUAAUACAGAGGGUGCAAGCGUUAAUCGGAAUUACUGGGCGUAAAGCGCGCGUAGGUGGUUCGUUAAGUUGGAUGUGAAAUCCCCGGGCUCAACCUGGGAACUGCAUUCAAAACUGUCGAGCUAGAGUAUGGUAGAGGGUGGUGGAAUUUCCUGUGUAGCGGUGAAAUGCGUAGAUAUAGGAAGGAACACCAGUGGCGAAGGCGACCACCUGGACUGAUACUGACACUG